GCUAUCACUCCUACGGGGAGGCAGCAGUAGGGAAUCUUCCACAAUGGGCGCAAGCCUGAUGGAGCAACACCGCGUGAGUGAAGAAGGGUUUCGGCUCGUAAAGCUCUGUUGUUAAAGAAGAACACGUAUGAGAGUAACUGUUCAUACGUUGACGGUAUUUAACCAGAAAGUCACGGCUAACUACGUGCCAGCAGCCGCGGUAAUACGUAGGUGGCAAGCGUUAUCCGGAUUUAUUGGGCGUAAAGAGAGUGCAGGCGGUUUUCUAAGUCUGAUGUGAAAGCCUUCGGCUUAACCGGAGAAGUGCAUCGGAAACUGGAUAACUUGAGUGCAGAAGAGGGUAGUGGAACUCCAUGUGUAGCGGUGGAAUGCGUAGAUAUAUGGAAGAACACCAGUGGCGAAGGCGGCUACCUGGUCUGCAACUGACGCUGAGACUCGAAAGCAUGGGUAGCGAACAGGAUUAGAUACCCUGGUAG
rnacentral:rRNA from 1 species